UGAGCAAUCUGCCCUUCUCAUCGGAAUAAGCGUUGGAAACGACGUCUAAUGCCGAAUACGACCUCCUUUCGCAUGAUCGGAGGUGGAAAGCUCCGGCGGAGAAGGAUGAGCUCGCGGCCUAUCAGCUAGUUGGUGUGGGUAAUGGCCCACCAAGGCGACGACGGGUAGCCGACCUGAGAGGGUGAUCGGCCACAUUGGAACUGAGACACGGCCCAGACUCCUAGGA
rnacentral:rRNA from 1 species